GCGGAUGUGGCGGAAUUGGCAGACGCGCUGGAUUUAGGUUCCAGUGGGCGACCGUGGGGGUUCAAGUCCCUUCAUCCGCACCA
rnacentral:tRNA from 4 species